rnacentral:rRNA from 1 species
GACGAACCGUGCGAACGUUAUUCGGAAUCACUGGGCUUAAAGCGCGUGUAGGCGGAUGGGGACGUCGGUCGCUGAAAUCCCCCGGCUCAACCGGGGAACGGGCGCCGAAACGCCCCGUCUCGAGGGACGUAGGGGGACCUGGAACUUCCGGUGGAGCGGUGAAAUGCGUUGAGAUCGGAAGGAACGCCCGUGGCGAAAGCGAGGUCCUGGACGUCUUCUGACGCUGAGACGCGAAAGCUAGGGGAGCGAACCGG